AACGGCACCACCAGGCGUGGAACUUGCGGCUUAAUUUGACUCAACACUGGAAAUCUCACCAGGCCCGGACACCGGAAGGAUUGACAGAUUGAGAGCUCUUUCUCGAUUCGGUGGGUGGUGGUGCAUGGCCGUUCUUAGUUGGUGGAGUGAUUUGUCUGGUUAAUUCCGAUAACGAACGAGACUCCGUCCUGCUAACUAGUCGCGGCGUCACUCUUGCGUCGCGAAUUCUUCUUAGAGGGACUGGCAGCGUUUAGCUGCACGAGAUGGAGCAAUAACAGGUCUGUGAUGCCCUUAGAUGUUCUGGGCUGCACGCGUGUUACGCUGAAGGGAUCAGCGUGUCCUCCCUGACCGAGAGGUCCGGGUAACCCGCUGAACCCCCUUCGUGGUAGGGAUCGGAGCUUGCAACUAUUCUCCGUGAACCAGGAAUGCCCAGUAAGCGCAAGUCAUAAGCUUGCGUUGAUUACGUCCCUGCCGUUUGUACACACCGCCCGUCGCUACUACCGAUUGAACGUUUUAGUGAGGUAUUUGGACUGGACCUCAGUUGGUUCGCGCCGACUGUGUUGUUCGGGAAGACUCCCAAACUUGAGCGUUUAGAGGAAGUAAAAGUCGUAACAAGGUUACCGUAGGUG
rnacentral:rRNA from 1 species